rnacentral:piRNA from 1 species
UUGGAGCACAAAUAGCAGUGUGUGUUUC